rnacentral:rRNA from 1 species
CCUACGGGGUGCAGCAGUGAGGAAUAUUGGUCAAUGGACGAGAGUCUGAACCAGCCAAGUAGCGUGAAGGAUGACUGCCCUAUGGGUUGUAAACUUCUUUUAUAUGGGAAUAAAAUGUUCCACGUGUGGGAUUUUGUAUGUACCAUAUGAAUAAGGAUCGGCUAACUCCGUGCCAGCAGCCGCGGUAAUACGGAGGAUCCGAGCGUUAUCCGGAUUUAUUGGGUUUAAAGGGAGCGUAGGUGGAUUGUUAAGUCAGUUGUGAAAGUUUGCGGCUCAAUCGUAAAAUUGCAGUUGAAACUGGCAGUCGUGAGUACAGUAGAGGUGGGCGGAAUUCGUGGUGUAGCGGUGAAAUGCUUAGAUAUCACGAAGAACUCCGAUUGCGAAGGCAGCUCACUGGACUGCAACUGACACUGAGGCUCGAAAGUGUGGGUAUCAAACAGGAUUAGAUACCCUGGUAGUC